rnacentral:rRNA from 1 species
UACAGAGGUCCCAAGCGUUGUUCGGAUUCACUGGGCGUAAAGGGUGCGCAGGUGGUCGGGUAAGUCUGACGUGAAAUCCCGCAGCUUAACUGCGGAAUGGCAUUGGAUACUAUUCGGCUAGAGGGUUGGAGGGGGGACUGGAAUUCUCGGUGUAGCAGUGAAAUGCGCAGAUAUCGGGAGGAACACCGGUGGCGAAGGCGGUUCUCUGGGCCUACCUGACGCUGAGGAGCGAAAGCGUGGGAGCAAACAGG